rnacentral:rRNA from 1 species
GACGAACGCUGGCGGCGUGCUUAACACAUGCAAGUCGAACGGAAAGGCCCUGCUUUUGUGGGGUGCUCGAGUGGCGAACGGGUGAGUAACACGUGAGUAACCUGCCCUUGACUUUGGGAUAACUUCAGGAAACUGGGGCUAAUACCGGAUAGGAGCUCCUGCUGCAUGGUGGGGGUUGGAAAGUUUCGGCGGUUGGGGAUGGACUCGCGGCCUAUCAGCUUGUUGGUGGGGUAGUGGCUUACCAAGGCUUUGACGGGUAGCCGGCCUGAGAGGGUGACCGGCCACAUUGGGACUGAGAUACGGCCCAGACUCCUACGGGAGGCAGCAGUGGGGAAUAUUGCACAAUGGGCGGAAGCCUGAUGCAGCAACGCCGCGUGCGGGAUGACGGCCUUCGGGUUGUAAACCGCUUUCGCCUGUGACGAGGCGUGAGUGACGGUAAUGGGUAAAGAAGCACCGGCUAACUACGUG